rnacentral:rRNA from 1 species
UAACGAAUCUUCCGCAAUGGGCGAAAGCCUGACGGAGCAAUGCCGCGUGUGGGAUGAAGUAUCUAUGGUAUGUAAACCACUGUCAGGGGACGGAACCAAUGAUUGUCCCCAGAGGAAGUGGCGACUAACUCUGUGCCAGCAGUCGCGGUAAUACAGAGGCCACAAGCGUUAGUCGGAAUCACUGGGCUUAAAGGGUGCGUAGGCGGGCGUGUAAGCGUCUUGUGAAAUCCCACGGCUCAACCGUGGAACAGCAGGGCGAACUGCACGUCUUGAGGCAGGUAGGGGCCGCGAGAACAGUAGGUGGAGCGGUGAAAUGCGUAGAUAUCUACUGGAAUGCCGAUGGUGAAGACGCGCGGCUGGGCCUGUCCUGACGCUGAGGCACGAAAGCGUGGGGAGCAAA